rnacentral:rRNA from 1 species
AAGGUACGUUUAGUGAGGAGGGUGAAGUCGUAACAAGGUAGCCGUACUGGAAAGUGCGGCUGGAUCACCUCCUUU